rnacentral:misc_RNA from 1 species
GAUGAGCCUUUUGAAGAUGUUAUUUAUCCAAAAGGGGAUCCUGAUGCUGUUUCAAUUAGUAAGAGAGAUGUGGAGCUUCUGCAGCCUGAGACAUUCAUCAAUGAUACUAUCAUUGACUUUUAUAUAAAAUUUUUUUCAACCAGAGGACCAGUAUCGGUUUCACUUCUUUAAUAGUUUCUUCUUUCGGAAGCUUGCUGAUCUAGACAAGGACCCACGUAAUGCUUGUGAAAGCAAGGCUGCAUUUCAACGUGUUCGUAAAUGGACAAGAAAAGUGAAUAUUUUUGAGAAGGAUUACAUUUUCAUUCCUGUAAACUAUAGUCUCCACUGGAGUUUGAUAGUCAUUUGUCAUCCAGGUGAAGUGGCUAAUUUUAGAGAUGAUGAAAGUGAAAGGGCACUUAAAGUACCAUGCAUCUUGCACAUGGAUUCUAUUAGAGGAAGUCACAGGGGCCUCAAGAAUCUAAUUCAAAGUUACCUAUGUGAAGAGUGGAAAGAGAGGCAUAAUGACACUCUGGAUGAUGUAUCUUCAAAGUUCUCACGACUAUGGUUUGUUCCACUUGAGUUGCCACAACAAGAAAAUUCUUUUGACUGUGGCCUCUUCCUGCUCCACUAUGUGGAACUGUUUCUCGAGGAAGUUCCUACUAACUUCAGCCCUUUCAAGAUAACAGAAU